GACGAACGCUGGCGGCGUGCCUAAUACAUGCAAGUUGAGCGCUGAAGGUUGGUACUUGUACCAACUGGAUGAGCAGCGAACGGGUGAGUAACGCGUGGGGAAUCUGCCUUUGAGCGGGGGACAACAUUUGGAAACGAAUGCUAAUACCGCAUAAAAACUUUAAACACAAGUUUUAAGUUUGAAAGAUGCAAUUGCAUCACUCAAAGAUGAUCCCGCGUUGUAUUAGCUAGUUGGUGAGGUAAAGGCUCACCAAGGCGAUGAUACAUAGCCGACCUGAGAGGGUGAUCGGCCACAUUGGGACUGAGACACGGCCCAAACUCCUACGGGAGGCAGCAGUAGGGAAUCUUCGGCAAUGGACGAAAGUCUGACCGAGCAACGCCGCGUGAGUGAAGAAGGUUUUCGGAUCGUAAAACUCUGUUGGUAGAGAAGAACGUUGUGAGAGUGGAAAGCUCAUCAAGUGACGGUAACUACCCAGAAAGGGACGGCUAACUACGUG
rnacentral:rRNA from 1 species